AUUCAGUUGAUGAGUCCCGAAUAGGACGAGACGCACGUCAAACUGGAU
rfam:Schistosoma mansoni strain Puerto Rico chromosome 6, complete genome